rnacentral:rRNA from 1 species
CCUACGGGGGGCAGCAGUGAGGAAUAUUGGUCAAUGGGCGCGAGCCUGAACCAGCCAAGUCGCGUGAGGGAAGACGGCCCUACGGGUUGUAAACCUCUUUUGCCGGGGAGCAACGGGCGCCACGUGUGGCGCCACUGCGAGUACCCGGAGAAAAAGCAUCGGCUAACUCCGUGCCAGCAGCCGCGGUACUACGGGGGAUGCGAGCGUUAUCCGGAUUUAUUGGGUUUAAAGGGGGCGUAGGCGGAGCGUUAAGUCAGUGGUAAAAUUGAGGGGCCAAACCCCUUCCCGCCAUUGAAACUGGCGGUCUUGAGUGGACGAGAAGUAUGCGGAAUGCGUGGUGUAGCGGUGAAAUGCAUAGAUAUCACGCAGAACCCCGAUUGCGAAGGCAGCAUGCCGGCUUCCGACUGACGCUGAGGCACGAAAGCGUGGGGAUCGAACAGGAUUAGAUACCCGAGUAGUC